rnacentral:lncRNA from 1 species
ACAACACGCCGGCACCUUCCCAGCAGGCAGCGGAGGCCGCUGACCCCCGAUCGCGCCGCGCUCAAGUUGUGCGCUAAGGCCACAGCCCUGCCCCAUGGGGAAGCCCCGGCCCCCCGCCCCACACGCCCCAGCGGGAAGCGCGGCCCCCCGGCGCGCCGGCCCCGACCCUCCUCCGCGCCGCCCUCCGGCCCCAACCCCCUCCCUCCCGGGCUAAUUGUCUGGACGCGGUCGCGGUCGCGGUCGCGCCCGCCCGCCCGCCCUCCGCACCCCUCCCCGCCGCGGCCGCCGCCUCCCCCGGCUCGCCCGCCGCCCCGCCGCCCCGCCGCCCCGCAACUUCGGCGCCCGCCCGGCCCGCCGCCCGCGGCCCCCUCCCCGGCCGCCCGGCCGCCCGGCCCUCCGCGCCCCCGCCCCCCCCGCGGCCGCUGCCCCUGCCCCUCCCGCCAAGCCCGGCCCGGCGCUCGCUCGCCCGCCCGCCCCGCCCCUCCCCUCCGCGGCCCCCCUGCGGCGCCGCCCCCGCCGCCCCCGGCCCGCCCCGGCCCGCGACCCCGGCCCACCCAGCCCCGCCCGGGAGGACCGAGCCGCCGCCGCGCGCCACCGCGGGAGGGGGGCUUUACCUCGGAGGCGCGGCCGCGAGCUGGGGGUCGGUCCCGGGCGCGGGCGGCGCCCCUGCUCCGUCCGUCAGCGGCGGCGGCGGCGGCACAUCCCAGCCGCCGGCGACCGGAGGAGGAAAGCGAGCCACGCAGGGAGGGAGCGGGCGGGCGAGCGAGGCAGGGGGGAAGCAGCGAGCGAGGGAGGGAACGCAGCUCGGCGCCGACGCGCUCCCCGCACGCCUGCCGGGGCCUCCUACCGCCGCCUCUGGCCGGAGAGUCGCCGCCCGGGUCGCUGCUGCCGCCACCGAUGCGGCCGGGAAUGAAUGCACGGCGGCGCCUCGCUUAUCCGGAGGUCAAACAUCCUUCUGCCUCGGGCAUCCGGAUCGGCGCCGGACCCGGAAGUGAACACAUGGAAAAAAAAUUAGAAAGGAAAGCGUCUCCCGAGCGGCCGCGGCCCCCAGGCUCCCGCAGCAGCGAAAAGAGCCGAGCGGAGCCGAAGAUGACAGCGCCCAGCGCGGAUUGGCCGGCUCGCCGACCGGAAGGCACGCGGCACGCUCAUUGGCUGCCGAGGCCUAGAAGGGCCAGCCACGCCCCCUCCCCGCCUCCGCGCGGGCGCUGCGUGAGGGCGAGCGCGGAGUCGUAG